rnacentral:rRNA from 2 species
GAUGAACGCUGGCGGCGCGCCUAACACAUGCAAGUCGAACGGUUAAAGCAUCUUCGGAUGUGUAUAAAGUGGCGAACGGCUGAGUAACACGUGGGCAACCUGCCCUUUGCACUGGGAUAGCCUCGGGAAACCGAGGUUAAUACCGGAUACUCCAUAUUUGUCGCAUGGCGAAUAUGGGAAAGCUCCGGCGGCAAAGGAUGGGCCCGCGGCCUGUUAGCUAGUUGGUGGGGUAGUGGCCUACCAAGGCAAUGAUGGGUAGCCGGGUUGAAAGACCGACCGGCCAGAUUGGGACUGAGACACGGCCCAGACUCCUACGGGAGGCAGCAGUGGGGAAUCUUGCACAAUGGGCGAAAGCCUGAUGCAGCGACGCCGCGUGCGGGAUGAAGGCCUUCGGGUUGUAAACCGCUUUCAGCAGGGACGAGGCCGCAAGGUGACGGUACCUGCAGAAGAAGCCCCCGGCUAACUACGUGCCAGCAGCCGCGGUAAUACGUAGGGGGCAAGCGUUAUCCGGAAUUCAUUGGGGCGUAAAGCGCGCGUAGGCGGUCUGUUAGGUCAGGAGUUAAAUCUGGGGGCUCAACCCCUAUCCGCUCCUGAUACCGGCAGGCUUGAGUCUGGUAGGGGAAGAUGGAAUUCCAAGUGUAGCGGUGAAAUGCGCAGAUAUUUGGAAGAACACCGGUGGCGAAGGCGGUCUUCUGGGCCAUGACUGACGCUGAGGCGCGAAAGCUAGGGGAGCGAACAGGAUUAGAUACCCUGGUAGUCCUAGCUGUAAACGAUGGACACUAGGUGUGGGGAGAUUAUACUUUCCGUGCCGCAGCUAACGCAUUAAGUGUCCCGCCUGGGGAGUACGGUCGCAAGACU